rnacentral:rRNA from 1 species
GAUGAACGCUAGCGGCAGGCCUAAUACAUGCAAGUCGAACGGUAAGGCCCUUUCGGGGGUACACGAGUGGCGGACGGGUGCGUAACGCGUAUACAACCUACCCUUCAGCGGGGGAUAGCCUGAAGAAAUUCAGAUUAAUACCGCAUAAUACAUUUGAGUCGCAUGGCUCGAUUGUUAAAGAUUUAUCACUGAAGGAUGGGUAUGCGUGACAUUAGCUAGUUGGUGAGGUAACUGCUCACCAAGGCUACGAUGUCUAGCUGGUCUGAGAGGAUGAUCAGCCACACUGGGACUGAGACACGGCCCAGACUCCUACGGGAGGCAGCAGUAGGGAAUAUUGGACAAUGGGCGAAAGCCUGAUCCAGCCAUGCCGCGUGGAGGAAGACGGACCUCUGGUUUGUAAACUCCUUUUAGCAGGGAAUAAACGAUCGCUAUAUGCGGUUUUGAAGGUACCUGCAGAAUAAGCACCGGCUAACUCCG